rnacentral:rRNA from 1 species
CCUACGGGAGGCAGCAGUGGGGAAUAUUGCGCAAUGGGCGAAAGCCUGACGCAGGGACGCCGCGUGAGGGAUGAAGGUCUUCGGAUCGUAAACCUCUGUCAGCAGGGAAGAACGGUCACUGUGCUAAUCAGCAGUGAAUUGACGGUACCUGCAAAGGAAGCACCGGCUAACUCCGUGCCAGCAGCCGCGGUAAUACGGAGGGUGCGAGCGUUAAUCGGAAUUACUGGGCGGAAAGCGCUCGUAGGCGGUAUGUCCAGUCAAGGGUGAAAUCCCCGCGCUCAACGUGGGAACUGCCUUUGAAACUGGCAACCUGGAGUGUGUGAGCGGAUAGUGGAAUUCCAGGUGUAGGGGUGAACUCCGUAGAUAUCUGGAGGAACAUCAGUGGCGAAGGCGACUAUCUGGCACAUAACUGACGCUGAGGAGCGAAAGCGUGGGUAGCAAACAGGAUUAGAUACCCGAGUAGUC